rnacentral:rRNA from 1 species
GGAGCAUGUGGUUUAAUUCGAAGCAACGCGAAGAACCUUACCAACCCUUGACAUCCUGUGCUACUACCAGAGAUGGUACGUUCCCUUCGGGACGCAGUGACAGGUGCUGCAUGGCUGUCGUCAGCUCGUGUCGUGAGAUGUUCGGUUAAGUCCGGCAACGAGCGCAACCCACAUCUUUAGUUGCCAGCAGGUUAAGCUGGGCACUCUAGAGAAACUGCCCGUGAUAAGCCGGAGGAAGGUGUGGAUGACGUCAAAUCAUCACGGCCCUUACGUCCUGGGCUACACACGUGCUACAAUGGUAGGUACAGAGAGCAGC